AUGAAAUCUUGCUUGUAGACUGCAUUCAUUCGACUGAUUUUUUCAUUUUUUUUUGUUUCCAUAAUCUACUCAUCAUUUUGUAUUUGGUCAAUUUGUAUUUAAGUGUCAAGAAUUUAUGCCGUUGUUUAUUUCCUGUAUUUAUGCCUGUUCAAACUCAACUCAACUCUAUAUUAUAUUAUUUGCAAACCAUUGAAUCCAAAUUCCAAAGUCACUUGCUAUUCUAAAAAAAAAUGGAGCAAUAACAACAUCAUCAUCAAAAUCGUAGGGUUCGCACGAAGCAUUAACUUUUGACUGGAUACCAAGUAAGGGGGCAGUGCAGAAAAUAUUUGAGGCUACGCCGCGAAAAGCUGUACCGGGCUCGUUUUUUUUUAUUUUUCGUGCUCGAAAAAGUCAAAACGUUGGACAACAUUCAAUUGUCAGAAGAUUCACGAAUAAUUGAAAUGAAUGAAGAAAAUUUUCAAUCCGAUCAAGAUCAUCAUAAUCAAUUUAAUGGUGAA